AACGAACGCUGGCGGCAGGCCUAACACAUGCAAGUCGAACGCCCUAGCAAUAGGGAGUGGCAGACGGGUGAGUAACACGUGGGAACGUGCCUUUCGGUUCGGAAUAACCCAGGGAAACUUGGACUAAUACCGGAUACGUGCGAGAGCAGAAAGAUUUAUCGCCGAAAGAUCGGCCCGCGUCCGAUUAGCUAGUUGGUGAGGUAACGGCUCACCAAGGCGACGAUCGGUAGCUGGUCUGAGAGGAUGAUCAGCCNCACUGGGACUGAGACACGGCCCGGACUCCUACGGGAGGCAGCAGUGGGGAAUAUUGGACAAUGGGCGCAAGCCUGAUCCAGCCAUGCCGCGUGAGUGAUGAAGGCCCUAGGGUUGUAAAGCUCGUUUCGCCGGGGACGAUAAUGACGGUACCUGGAUAAGAAGCCCCGGCUAACUUCGU
rnacentral:rRNA from 1 species